rnacentral:tRNA from 1 species
GGAGAGAGUGGGAUUCGAACCCACGGAGCCGCUACGCACGACUCGAAAUCGUGUGAGCCGUUUGUAGCGGCUCCGUGGGUUCGAAUCCCACUCUCUCCGCCA